rnacentral:rRNA from 1 species
GAUGAACGCUGGCGGCGUGCUUAACACAUGCAAGUCGAACGGUGAAGCAGGAGCUUGCUCUUGUGGAUCAGUGGCGAACGGGUGAGUAACACGUGAGCAACCUGCCCCUGACUCUGGGAUAAGCGCUGGAAACGGCGUCUAAUACUGGAUAUGUGAUGUGACCGCAUGGUCUGCAUCUGGAAAGAAUUUCGGUUGGGGAUGGGCUCGCGGCCUAUCAGCUUGUUGGUGAGGUAAUGGCUCACCAAGGCGUCGACGGAUAGCCGGCCUGAGAGGGUGACCGGCCACACUGGGGCUGAGACACGGCCCAGACUCCUACGGGAGGCAGCAGUGGGGAAUAUUGCACAAUGGGCGGAAGCCUGAUGCAGCAACGCCGCGUGAGGGAUGACGGCCUUCGGGUUGUAAACCUCUUUUAGCAGGGAAGAAGCGAAAGUGACGGUACCUGCAGAAAAAGCACCGGCUAACUACGUGCCAGCCGCCGCGGUAA